GACGAACGCUGGCGGCGUGCCUAAUACAUGCAAGUAGAACGCUGAAGAGAGGAGCUUGCUCUUCUUGGAUGAGUUGCGAACGGGUGAGUAACGCGUAGGUAACCUGCCUGGUAGCGGGGGAUAACUAUUGGAAACGAUAGCUAAUACCGCAUAAAAUGGAUUAUCGCAUGAUAAUCCAUUGAAAGGUGCAAAUGCAUCACUACCAGAUGGACCUGCGUUGUAUUAGCUAGUUGGUGGGGUAACGGCUCACCAAGGCGACGAUACAUAGCCGACCUGAGAGGGUGAUCGGCCACACUGGGACUGAGACACGGCCCAGACUCCUACGGGAGGCAGCAGUAGGGAAUCUUCGGCAAUGGACGGAAGUCUGACCGAGCAACGCCGCGUGAGGGAAGAAGGGUUUCGGAUCGUAAAGCUCUGUUGUAAGAGAAGAACGAGUGUGAGAGUGGAAAGUUCACACUGUGACGGUAUCUUACCAGAAAGGGACGGCUAACUACGUG
rnacentral:rRNA from 1 species